GUGAUACGGAGCUAUAAUGCAGUCGAGCGGACAGAUGGGAGCUUGCUCCCUGAUGUUAGCGGCGGACGGGUGAGUAACACGUGGGUAACCUGCCUGUAAGACUGGGAUAACUCCGGGAAACCGGGGCUAAUACCGGAUGCUUGUUUGAACCGCAUGGUUCAAACAUAAAAGGUGGCUUCGGCUACCACUUACAGAUGGACCCGCGGCGCAUUAGCUAGUUGGUGAGGUAAUGGCUCACCAAGGCAACGAUGCGUAGCCGACCUGAGAGGGUGAUCGGCCACACUGGGACUGAGACACGGCCCAGACUCCUACGGGAGGCAGCAGUAGGGAAUCUUCCGCAAUGGACGAAAGUCUGACGGAGCAACGCCGCGUGAGUGAUGAAGGUUUUCGGAUCGUAAAGCUCUGUUGUUAGGGAAGAACAAGUACCGUUCGAAUAGGGCGGUACCUUGACGGUACCUAACCAGAAAGCCACGGCUAACUACGUGCCAGCAGCCGCGGUAAUACGUAGGUGGCAAGCGUUGUCCGGAAUUAUUGGGCGUAAAGGGCUCGCAGGCGGUUUCUUAAGUCUGAUGUGAAAGCCCCCGGCUCAACCGGGGAGGGUCAUUGGAAACUGGGGAACUUGAGUGCAGAAGAGGAGAGUGGAAUUCCACGUGUAGCGGUGAAAUGCGUAGAGAUGUGGAGGAACACCAGUGGCGAAGGCGACUCUCUGGUCUGUAACUGACGCUGAGGAGCGAAAGCGUGGGGAGCGAACAGGAUUAGAUACCCUGGUAGUCCACGCCGUAAACGAUGAGUGCUAAGUGUUACGGGGUUUCCGCCCCUUAGUGCUGCAGCUAACGCAUUAAGCACUCCGCCUGGGGAGUACGGUCGCAAGACUGAAACUCAAGGAAUUGACGGGGGCCCGCACAAGCGGUGGAGCAUGUGGUUUAAUUCGAAGCACGCGAAGAACCUUACCAGGUCUGACAUCCUCUGACAUCCUAGAGAUAGGACGUCCCCUUCGGGGCAGAGUGACAGUGGUGCAUGAUGUCGUCAGCUCGUGUCGUGAGAUGUUGGGUUAAGUCCCGCAACGAGCGCAA
rnacentral:rRNA from 1 species